rnacentral:tRNA from 1 species
UGGCUCAGAGGUUAAAGCGCCUGCCUGGAAUGCAGGAGACCUGGGUUCACUCCCUG